rnacentral:rRNA from 1 species
GGACUCUCGGCAACGGAUAUCUCGGCUCUUGCAUCGAUGAAGAACGUAGCGAAAUGCGAUACUUGGUGUGAAUUGCAGAAUCCCGUGAACCAUCGAGUCUUUGAACGCAAGUUGCGCCUGAAGCCAUUAGGCUGAGGGCAUGCCUGCCUGGGUGUCGCCC